UACGGAGGGUGCUAGCGUUGUUCGGAAUUACUGGGCGUAAAGCGCGCGUAGGCAGCAGCGUGUGUCGGGCGUGAAAUCCCACGGCUCAACCGUGGAAGUGCACUCGAAACUGCGCAGCUAGAGUCUCGGAGAGGAAGGCGGAAUGCUUGGUGUAGAGGUGAAAUUCGUAGAUAUCAAGCGGAACACCGGUGGCGAAGGCGGCCUUCUGGACGAUGACUGACGCUGAAGCGCGAAAGCGUGGGGAGCAAACAGG
rnacentral:rRNA from 1 species